rfam:Triticum aestivum genome assembly, contig: Triticum_aestivum_CS42_TGACv1_scaffold_514989_6BS
GGUGCCAUGUGGAGCAAUGCCGCGUGGAGGUGGAAGGCCUACGGGUUGUCAACUUCUUUUCUCGGAGAAGAAACAAUGACGACAUUUGAGGAAUAAGCAUCGGCUAACUCUGUGCUAGCAGUCACGGUAAGACAGAUGAUGCA